rnacentral:rRNA from 1 species
AGUGAACGCUGGCGGUAUGCCUAACACAUGCAAGUCGAACGGCAGCACAUUAUUCGCUUGCUCUUAGGGGUGGCGAGUGGUGAACGGGUGACGAAUACAUCGGAAUCUCAUUUUUAGAGGGGUGCUAAUAAGGGAUACGCACGCUAAUAACGCAUACAACCUACGGGUGAAAGCGGGGGAGUUUCGGACCUUCGUCGGUUAGUUAAUAGGAUGCCGAGUCUGUGAGUUGGCGGGGUAACGGCCGACCAAGGCGACAAGCAGUAGCUGGUCUGAGAGGAUGAUCAGCCCCACUGGAACUGAGACACGGUCCAGACUCCGACGGGAGGCAGCAGUGGGGAAUAUUGGACAAUGGCAGCAAGCCUGAUCCAGCCAUGCCGCGUGGGUGAAGAAGGCCUUCGGGUUGUAAAGCCCUUUUGUUGGGAAAGAAAAGCAGCAGGUUAAUACCCCGCUGUUCUGACGGUACCCAAAGAAUAAGCACCGGCUAACUUCGUG